GGUUAAGCGACUAAGCGUACACGGUGGAUGCCCUGGCAGUCAGAGGCGAUGAAGGGCGUGCUAAUCUGCGAUAAGCGCCGGUAAGGUGAUAUGAACCGUUAUAACCGGCGAUACCCGAAUGGGGAAACCCAGUGUGAUUCGUCACACUAUCAUUAACUGAAUCCAUAGGUUAAUGAGGCGAACCGGGGGAACUGAAACAUCUAAGUACCCCGAGGAAAAGAAAUCAACCGAGAUUCCCCCAGUAGCGGCGAGCGAACGGGGAGGAGCCCAGAGCCUGAAUCAGCAUGUGUGUUAGUGGAAGCGUCUGGAAAGGCGCGCGAUACAGGGUGACAGCCCCGUACACAAAAGCGCAUGUGCUGUGAGCUCGAUGAGUAGGGCGGGACACGUGGUAUCCUGUCUGAAUAUGGGGGGACCAUCCUCCAAGGCUAAAUACUCCUGACUGACCGAUAGUGAACCAGUACCGUGAGGGAAAGGCGAAAAGAACCCCGGCGAGGGGAGUGAAAAAGAACCUGAAACCGUGUACGUACAAGCAGUGGGAGCACCCUUUGGGUGUGACUGCGUACCUUUUGUAUAAUGGGUCAGCGACUUAUAUUCUGUAGCAAGGUUAACCGAAUAGGGGAGCCGGAGGGAAACCGAGUCUUAACCGGGCGUUAAGUUGCAGGGUAUAGACCCGAAACCCGGUGAUCUAGCCAUGGGCAGGUUGAAGGUUGGGUAACACUAACUGGAGGACCGAACCGACUAAUGUUGAAAAAUUAGCGGAUGACCUGUGGCUGGGGGUGAAAGGCCAAUCAAACCGGGAGAUAGCUGGUUCUCCCCGAAAGCUAUUUAGGUAGCGCCUCGUGAAUUCAUCUCCGGGGGUAGAGCACUGUUUCGGCUAGGGGGCCAUCCCGGCUUACCAACCCGAUGCAAACUGCGAAUACCGGAGAAUGUUAUCACGGGAGACACACGGCGGGUGCUAACGUCCGUCGUGAAGAGGGAAACAACCCAGACCGCCAGCUAAGGUCCCAAAGUCAUGGUUAAGUGGGAAACGAUGUGGGAAGGCCCAGACAGCCAGGAUGUUGGCUUAGAAGCAGCCAUCAUUUAAAGAAAGCGUAAUAGCUCACUGGUCGAGUCGGCCUGCGCGGAAGAUGUAACGGGGCUAAACCAUGCACCGAAGCUGCGGCAGCGACACUGUGUGUUGUUGGGUAGGGGAGCGUUCUGUAAGCCUGUGAAGGUGUGUCGUGAGGCAUGCUGGAGGUAUCAGAAGUGCGAAUGCUGACAUAAGUAACGAUAAAGCGGGUGAAAAGCCCGCUCGCCGGAAGACCAAGGGUUCCUGUCCAACGUUAAUCGGGGCAGGGUGAGUCGACCCCUAAGGCGAGGCCGAAAGGCGUAGUCGAUGGGAAACGGGUUAAUAUUCCCGUACUUGGUGUUACUGCGAAGGGGGGACGGAGAAGGCUAUGUUGGCCGGGCGACGGUU
rnacentral:rRNA from 1 species